GACGAACGCUGGCGGCGUGCUUAACACAUGCAAGUCGAACGGUGAAGCGCUUGCCUUUUUGGUGGGUGUGGAUGAGUGGCGAACGGGUGAGUAACACGUGAGUAACCUGCCCUCUUCUUCUGGAUAACCUCAUGAAAGUGGGGCUAAUACGGGGUAUUCCGGGUCUGUCGCAUGGCGGGUUUGGGAAAGAUUGCGCCUUUGGGUGUUUUCGGUGGGGGAUGGGCUCGCGGCCUAUCAGCUUGUUGGUGGGGUGAUGGCCUACCAAGGCGGUGACGGGUAGCCGGCCUGAGGGGGUGGACGGCCACACUGGGACUGAGACACGGCCCAGACUCCUGCGGGAGGCAGCAGUGGGGAAUAUUGCACAAUGGGCGCAAGCCUGAUGCAGCGACGCCGCGUGAGGGAUGGAGGCCUUCGGGUGGUGAACCUCUUUCGCCAGUGAAGCAGGCCUGCUCCUGUGUGGGUGGGUUGACGGUAGCUGGAUAAGAAGCGCCGGCUAACUACGUG
rnacentral:rRNA from 1 species